rnacentral:pre_miRNA from 1 species
UUUCUACUCCCUCUGUCCGAAAAUACUUGUCAUCAAAAUGGAUAAAAAGAGAUGUAUCUAAAACUAAAAUACGUCUAGAUANCCUUUUAUCCAUUUUGAUGACAAGUAUUUCCGGACGGAGGGAGUAUUUG